AUGUUGUGUUUGUGGUCAUGGACAGAUUCUCUAAAAUGGCUCAUUUCAUUCCAUGCCGCAAGACAACGGAUGCUCAUCAUGUGGCAAACCUAUUCUUUCGAGAAGUGGCCAGUCUUUCAUGGAGCUCCAAGGUCCAUCGUCUCAGACCGUGAUAGCAAGUUUCUUGUUGCAUUUUGGCUCACUUUGUGGACGCAAUUCAACACUGAAUUAAAAUUUUCUAGCACUACCCAUCCACAAACAGAUGGACAAACGGAAGUGGCGACCAAAUUAUUGGGUAAUCUGAUCGGUUGCAUUUGUGGAGAAAGAAAGGGACAAUGGGAUUUGGCUUUAUCACUUGCAGAGUUCUCCUACAACAACUCCAAGCAUAGAUCCAAAGGAAGAAAUCCCUUUUCCAUUGUCUACGCUAAAAUUCCAACACAUGCAGUGGACCCGGUGAAGCUACCAUCAAGGGGAAACUCAAAAUCAGCAUUGUCCUUUGUUGAUAAUGAUACCGAUUAUUUGAAGAAAUUCUUGUGUUUCAAAAGUACAAAAUCAGGAAUAUAA
rnacentral:rRNA from 1 species